UACAGAGGGUGCAAGCGUUGUUCGGAAUCACUGGGCGUAAAGCGCACGUAGGCGGAUGUGUCAGUCAGGGGUGAAAUCCCGGGGCUCAACCUCGGAACUGCCUUUGAUACAGCACGUCUCGAGUCCGGAAGAGGUGGGUGGAAUUCCUAGUGUAGAGGUGAAAUUCGUAGAUAUUAGGAAGAACACCGGUGGCGAAGGCGGCCCACUGGUCCGGUACUGACGCUGAGGUGCGAAAGCGUGGGGAGCAAACAGG
rnacentral:rRNA from 1 species